GGGGACAGCCUCGGGAAACCGUGGGUAAUACCGGAUACUCCGGGACGGCCGCAUGGCCGGCCCGGGAAAGCCCAGACGGGAGGGGAUGGGCCCGCGGCCUGUUAGCUAGUCGGCGGGGUAACGGCCCACCGAGGCGAUUAUGGGUAGCCGGGUUGAGAGACCGACCGGCCAGAUUGGGACUGAGACACGGCCCAGACUCCUACGGGAGGCAGCAGUGGGGAAUCUUGCGCAAUGGGCGGAAGCCUGACGCAGCGACGCCGCGUGCGGGACGAAGGCCUUCGGGUCGUAAACCGCUUUCAGCAGGGACGAGGCCCUCACGGUGACGGUACCUGCAGAAGAAGCCCCGGCUAACUACGUGCCAGCAGCCGCGGUAAUACGUAGGGGGCGAGCGUUAUCCGGAUUCAUUGGGCGUAAAGCGCGCGUAGGCGGCCUGUUAGGUCGGGGGUCAAAUACCGGGGCUCAACCCCGGUCCGCCCCCGAUACCGGCAGGCUUGAGUCUGGUAGGGGAAGGCGGAAUUCCCAGUGUAGCGGUGGAAUGCGCAGAUAUUGGGAAGAACACCGGCGGCGAAGGCGGCCUUCUGGGCCACGACUGACGCUGAGGCGCGAAAGCUAGGGGAGCGAACAGGAUUAGAUACCCUGGUAGUCCUAGCCGUAAACG
rnacentral:rRNA from 1 species